GACGAACGCUGGCGGCGUGCUUAACACAUGCAAGUCGAACGGAAAGGCCCUGCUUUUGUGGGGUGCUUGAGUGGCGAACGGGUGAGUAACACGUGAGUAACCUGCCCUUGACUUUGGGAUAAAUUCAGGAAAAUGGGGCUAAUAACGGAUAGGAGCUCCUGCUGCAUGGUGGGGGUUGGAAAGUUUCGGCGGUUGGGGAUGGACUCGCGGCUUAUCAGCUUGUUGGUGGGGUAGUGACUUACCAAGGCUUUGACGGGUAGCCGGCCUGAGAGGGUGAGCGGCCACAGUGGGACUGAGAUACGGCCCAGACUCCUACGGGAGGCAGCAGUGGGGAAUAUUGCACAAUGGGCGGAAGCCUGAUGCAGCAACGCCGCGUGCGGGAUAACGGCCUUCGGGUUGUAAACCGCUUUCGCCUGUGACGAAGCGUGAGUGACGGUAAUGGGUAAAGAAGCACCGGCUAACUACGUG
rnacentral:rRNA from 1 species